CCACAAUUUUAGAAACAGUACUGCCUU
rnacentral:piRNA from 1 species